GAGGCACACAUUGUUAUAUACAACAAACUAAAUAUUUGACAGCUCGUUGAAAGUAAUACAUACAGUUAUCGGCAGAUUUGAGUUUUAUAUAAAUACGUUUGCCAAAAUGUCGACAGCCUUUUGUUUUCAAGCACAGCUCGUUUCUGUCAUGGACGCGUUAUCAAAAACAGCAGUUUCAGAAAUAAGCAAACUAGUCGACAUAGAAUCAAAGGUUUUAAAAUUAGAAAUAACGCGUGGUCGGAAUGAAAUAGCAACACUUACAGAGAAACUGCAGCUGAUGGAGAAUUUGCUUUGGAUCGACGGAGGGCACAGGCAGGACGCAACGGCAGAUACACGCACGAAAACGCCAACAAGAGCGAGAGAUGGUUCAAUGAACGAUUAUUGUGAAAGACCUCAGUCUGAGCCCAAAAUACCUGCAAUCAAAAAAAGUGAGAGUUCCUGGGAAAAUAUUUGUCCUCCUCGAGAGAUGCACGUCAUCCAUCAGAUUGAAGAUGGUGCUCUUGUUUUGGAAACAGUGCCUACCACAGUGGUGAGAGACCAGCCUGAGUUGAUUGUGAUCAAGGAGGAACCUUCAGAGGUGGACGUAUGGGGUAGUGGGCCAAAGACCGAACUCAUAAAUGAAAAUGGAGCAGCAACAUCACUUGAUACAGAUGUUGGGUGUCUCGAUGUGCUUCAGCAUUGUCCAGACAGCUCAGACAACCACCCUAUAUUUACUGAGAGACAGGUGAACCACAGCACUCAGCCCUCAUCCGGAGUGCAAUUGGAGGACCUGGACACGCAUUGGACGCCACCUGCAUGUUCACAGAGCCAGGAUGCGCAGCAGAUCACACCUGCUGCACAGAGAAACUCCAUAACUGGAAACAGCUGUGGUGGUAUAACAAAUGUGCCCUCUCAGAGCUUCAGUGUGGCAAAGUCGAACAUGAAGAUCCACAGCCUGAGAACAUCAGGAGCUAAACGAUUUGGCUGUAUGCAAUGUGGCAAGAACUUCAGGUGUUCUAGUCAGCUGGAAAUACACCAGCGAAGUCACACUGGAGAGAAACCGUACCGAUGCACGCUGUGUGGAAAGAGAUACGCACAGAAAGGGCAUCUUUAUACCCACCAACGCACACACACCGGAGAAAAGCCAUAUCGCUGCCUCGACUGUGGCAAGAGCUUCAUUCAAAAAUGCACUCUCGAUAUGCACCAGCGCACCCACACCGGAGAAAAACCUUAUGUUUGUGUGAAAUGUGGGAAGGGAUUUACUAAAAACUGUAACCUUAAGAAACACAUGGGUGUACAUACAGAGUUUAGCAUGCAUGUUUACAGUGAGUCCAGUUUACAAGAGGACAGAUGGACAAAUAGACCUCAUCCGUACUAGUACCAACCAUAGGCCUACAGCCUCUGCAGUGGAUUUGCUGGACUUCAGUCAUUCAAAGUUUUCCUCAUAGAAUAUUAGUCUUUGCUUUUCAGAAAAAUUAAGCUGUCCUAUUUUUCAACAUUUGCCAGGUCUCUAUUUUGCUGUCUGACAUUUUUAUUUUAUUCAAAUGUAACCUUUAUUUAACUAGGCAAGCCAGUUAAGAACACAUUCUUAUUUACAAUGACGGCCAAACCCGGACGACGCUGGGCCAAUUGUGCGCCGCCCUAUGGGACUCCAAAUCACGGCCGGAUGUGAUACAGCCUGGAUAUCGUUUUCCUCAUUUGAAAUCGGUUUUGGAGGUGAAAUAUAGCCGUGAAAGUAACAGCCGAUUGCCAAGGGUGUAGUUUUUAAUUGGAUCUAAACAUUACCGCAUUGGAUUGUGGGAUAUUUGACGUAAACCAUGAAUUAAAGCACAACAAAAAUGUGGGCGUGACCUUUACUUAUGGGAUUUACGGUAAAGUAUUAUGGGAUUUACGGUAAAGUAUCCCACAAUUCAAAGCGGUAAUGUUUAGAUUCAUGAGCGAGAGGUCUAUUCAGAGAUAUUUUUGAGAAGAUGGGAAACUCCAUUGCAUUCAUAUUACAGCCCAUUGUCUACGAUGCCCAUGCGGCGUCAAUGAGCCGCGCGGUGCAUUCUGGGCGAUUCUGGGACAAGGAGAGCUCUCCUUCAAGGAGUGAAUGGGAGUCAAUUGGGCUAGCUCUAAACACCCAACAUUAGCAUGAAUUUAGACAAGAAGUACAACAUUAAAAAUAUUUUCGGAGAUGUGAGAUAAUUAACUUAUCUGUAAUAUCGUAUAGCUUUUGCAUCGUACUUUCGAGGAAAAUAGGCAUACCCCGACUUUGAGAAGGGAUUGCGUGACGAUCAGUUUAGCAACCGCGUGACACAGCAUGACAACUUAAACGCGAUUGGUCGGAAGUCUGAUGGGUGAGGCUUUAUACAGGCCAAUGGGAUUCCUAUCUCGUAAUUUCUCUUAUCCCUGGUCUAUUUCAGCUAGCUAGCCACCCAAUCAAUGUCUAUUAUUAUUCCAUUUUAUUAAUAUCGCCAGCCUAUCAUACACGUUGGACUUAGUUUCUUUUUAAAACAAAACCAUGAAUACGAUGAUAAAUCGGGGAAGUUUUCAGAACCAGUUAUCUUGCAUUAUGGAAAUGCUAAGCAAAGCUGCUGUGGUUGAAAUCGGUAAACUUGUCGACGAGUGCUCGGCCGUUCUCCGUUCUGAAAUAUCCCAACACAUGAAUGAGAACGAGGCAUUAAAGAAGAAAUGUUAUCUGCUAGAGAUUGAAUUAAAGACUGUAAAACUGCACGAGCGUAAAAGGGUCAUUGCCAGCCGUUGUCAGAAUGGAGUUCAGGUCUCGGGACAAAUAUUUACGCAUCGAGCAACAGAGAACCGAGAGAGGCAGUCUGCCCCCGCGAUAGAGAGUGUCUUUGGUAAGGACUGGUGCAUGGAUCUAUGGAGAGAUGGGGAGUCAAUCCCUCAGGAUAAAGAGACAACAAUUGGAUCGGCAAUCUUGGGCGAUGAUGAGGUCACUCAGGCAGUAGACUUGGUGGACAAUGAGCCUGACUUGGUGUUUAUCAAAGAAGAGCUGUUUGAGGAUCAGCCAGUGGACCAGCAGAGGGGACAUGCAAGCAACAGAAAAAGGAGCGUAGCUGUGGAGGAUGCUCCAGCAGUAGAGAGAGCAGCUGCCAGUCAACUUCACCUAUACAAGGGGGACUUGAACACAUACCCUACAGGCAGCCAUCAGGUACAGCCUGACACAGAGCAGCCCACAUCCAUUGAGAGUCUCAUGGAAGACCCCACUCUGGCUGGUCUGGUUGACCACACAGCAGAGCCUGGCCCUGACACAGCCGAUGGGAUGUACAUGGACUAUCCUCCCCGCAACACAUACGCACCAAGAAACCGUCCAAGCCACCAGCAGGGAACUGGAAAAGACCUGAAGCAGCAGUUUGACUGUUUGUUUUGUGGGAAGAGCUUUGGUUAUUUGAGCUACUUGAAAGUCCACAUCAGACGCCACUCCGGAGAGAAACCGUUUGGCUGCACCGUUUGCGGGAAGCGCUUUGCUCAGAAGACGUACCUGAAGCUGCAUCAGCGUACACACUCUGGGGAGAAACCUUACAGUUGCACAGAGUGUGGGAAGAGUUUCUCUCAGAAGAGCUCGUUGAAUGUCCAUCUCCGGAGUCACACCGGGGAGAAGCCUUAUAGCUGUGUCGACUGUGGGAAGAGCUACACCUAUAAACACGGUUUUAACACACACCAAUGUUUCAAUUAAUUGUAUUUUAUUUACAUUUCAACCUUGUUUUGAAAACUGGCACCUGAAACAUCUUUAGCCGUAUUGUAAUCAUGGUUUUCAGUAGGUAGAUUUUUUAAAAGUUAACUGUUUUGCGCUACUGUGUGCCCUAAUGACCAAGCUGUUACUCUUCACUACAUGGCAGAUAACUGUUCCAUUCAAGUUUUCCCUCUGCUCUGAUUGUAGGAUUGCACACACACUGCCUUGUCACACAAUUGGCAAGAGACUAGACAUUUUUGAAGUAUCUCUAAAGACAUGUACUGUUUGUGCUAAACAGUGGUGGUCCUGAUACCAGUUGUUUGUGCUACUGUGAAGAAUGCCAGUGUAGUAGACCGGUCACGUAAACAUGUGUGCCAAAUAAUUUUCUGUAAUGAAUUAAAUGGGUACAGUAAUACAUUUACUUAUUUGUACUCACAUUACAUUUGUAUUCCAUAUGUUAUAAAAAUGUAAACAUGGCAAUGAUUAAAUGAUUGAAAUGUUA